rnacentral:tRNA from 1 species
AAUAGAAUAUAUAAAUAUAUAUAUAUAUUUAUGAAGGUAAAUUAAAAUUACAUUAUUUAUUUAUUUUAUAGAUUUAAUUUUAUGG